rnacentral:lncRNA from 1 species
UUUUGCUUUUUUCAUACUCUGUUUCUUGAAGUACAGAGAUGUAAACAUGCACCUAUACCACAGUAAAUGUAACAUCCUUGCAUGAGGUCAGUGGUCAGGAGAGUACUCCACUGCUGUAGACUGUAAAUGGGUAUGUGUGGAAUUUUCCUUACUCCAGAGCCAGAGAUAUCUUCUGUGGUGUGUCUGGAGAGAGGGCACUGAAUACCGAACACCAGGAUCAUUGGUGAAGAGGUAGACUGCACUGAGGAAAGUGUAUUAAUAGGUGACAGAACGUAUGUCACACAAUAUCUAAGAAAGCCUCUGUCUAGAAGACUACAACCUAAUAAAGAGUGUCUGGAAGCAAUAAUAAGUACAAAAGGAGACAAAAUUUGAGAACCACUUUGAUGUUACUACGAGCAUGUCUCUAGGAUGAGUUUAUGGAAAAGACCCUGUCUCUUGUGCACCAGAUGAACCUGAAUUCCUCUGCAAGGCUGUGAGGUUCAGCCCAUUCCUGUUCCAGAAGGCUGGCCAUCUGGAAGUGCUUUACAGCUUUCAUUAAUAGAGAGAUUUAUUGAAUGCAGUAAUGUAAAAUACAAAUAACUGAAUCAGAGAAGCAUUCUCUAUGUUACCAACAUUGACAUUGAAUUCAAA